rnacentral:rRNA from 1 species
GAUGAACGCUGGCGGCGUGCUUAACGCAUGCAAGUCGAACGGGAAACCUUUUAUUGAAGCUUCGGCAGAUUUAGAUUGUUUCUAGUGGCGGACGGGUGAGUAACGCGUGGGUAACCUGCCUUAUACAGGGGGAUAACAGUCAGAAAUGACUGCUAAUACCGCAUAAGCGCACAGAGCUGCAUGGCUCGGUGUGAAAAACUCCGGUGGUAUAAGAUGGACCCGCGUUGGAUUAGCUAGUUGGUGAGGUAACGGCCCACCAAGGCAACGAUCCAUAGCCGGCCUGAGAGGGUGAACGGCCACAUUGGGACUGAGACACGGCCCAGACUCCUACGGGAGGCAGCAGUGGGGAAUAUUGCACAAUGGGGGAAACCCUGAUGCAGCGACGCCGCGUGAAGGAAGAAGUAUCUCGGUAUGUAAACUUCUAUCAGCAGGGAAG